AAAGUCGUAACAAGGUUUCCGUAGGUGAACCUGCGGAAGGAUCAUUAACAAAUGCAGCUUGCUGCUUUAAUGUAUUACACCUGUGAACUAUUGCCUUCGGGCCACACAAACAUAAUGUAACGAAUGUAACAUAUUAUAACAAAAUAUAACUUUCAACAACGGAUCUCUUGGCUCUC
rnacentral:misc_RNA from 1 species